rnacentral:lncRNA from 1 species
GGGCGCCGAGCAGCAGCCCCGGCAGGCCAGCUUUGGAGAAGCGUGUGUGUGGAAGUUCAGGGGCUAGAAGUUGGGUUCCCUGACUCUCCGUCCGCGCGCCUGCUGCAGAGUCUCUGUCUGGGGUCCAGCCCUCACCACACGGCGCCGUCAGAGGGGACAUUGAGGAGGGACGAGACGGCAGCGCUGCCGCGGAGGAGAUGCUGACAGACUCUGAGGGAGGCUCAGCACUCUGUCUCCUUUCCCGAGCAAAUUGUCCACGGAAUUUAAUAGAAUUCUAGCCAUUUAGUAGUGAAAGACAAAAUAGGACUUUCUUCCCCAGGAGUUUUAAAAAGGCAUUUUAUUAAAGACUAACCCUUGACAAGUUUCCUUGGCAUUUUGAAUCAUACAGAAUUCAUAAUACACCCUGCAAAUUUGUGUAUUAAUCAGAAGCGUUCAGUCCCACUCAGAUGUAGACCUUAAACACCGGCACUUUCUGCCCUCCAUCCUCUGGGUUGUCACCUUGCCAGCCCUGCAGCUUGCAGGGGUGGAGGCUGACAGCCGGUGUCUUAACCCUUCCCUGGGAGAGUCCCCAGCAAGAGGGUGAAUUCUCCUCCAGGAGCAGCUAAGUGUGCUGCAGGCACUGAUGCGGCUUCAAGAAAGCUGGUAGCCGGGUUAACCUGCACUGGCCAGCAGUUUCUUUCUUGGCCAGACAGUCAUUUUUUUCUGCCUUCGUCUGGCUUUGUUCUCUUUUUUUAAGCAACAUAGUGAAGACAUUUUCUUUUAAAUCGUUUCUCUCUCUCUCUCUCACACACACACACACACACAGGCACAUGGAUUCACCUGUGGAAGCCACAGAACAUUUGUGGCCCAAGAAGAUUCAAGCGACAGCAAAAUGAAGACUAAUCAAGUCAGGGGACGCUUCCUUUUCCUACAACCAGACUCCAGUCCCCCAGAAUCUGUGUUUGUGAAAACUCCAGAGGAAGACAAACAACACUCUCUCCAGUGCUCCCCUCUUGCCUCGUCCCCCUAAAGUCUUUCCAUUUUCUUGCCGUGUCCCCCUGUUCCCUCUGUAGAAGCCAGCACAGUUUCUGCGGCCGGCGAGUGGGCAGGCAGGGGGGCUGACGGGGACAGGGGAAGGCACCUACCUGAG